rnacentral:rRNA from 1 species
UACGGGGGGGGUAAGCGUUGUUCGGAAUUACUGGGCGUAAAGGGCUCGUAGGCGGCCAACUAAGUCGGACGUGAAAUCCCUCAGCUUAACUGGGGAACUGCGUCCGAUACUGAAUGGCUUGGAUUUGGGAGAGGGAUGCGGAAUUCCAGGUGUAGCGGUGAAAUGCGUAGAUAUCUGGAGGAACACCGGUGGCGAAGGCGGCAUCCUGGACCAAUAUUGACGCUGAGGAGCGAAAGCCAGGGGAGCAAACGGG